rnacentral:rRNA from 1 species
UACGGGGGGAGCAAGCGUUGUUCGGAUUUACUGGGCGUAAAGGGCGCGUAGGCGGCCACCGCAAGUCGGUUGUGAAAUCUCCGGGCUUAACCCGGAAAGGUCAACCGAUACUGCGGGGCUAGAGUGCAGAAGGGGCAACUGGAACUCUCGGUGUAGCGGUGAAAUGCGUAGAUAUCGAGAGGAACACCUGCGGCGAAGGCGGGUUGCUGGGCUGACACUGACGCUGAGGCGCGAAAGCUAGGGGAGCGAACGGG